CGUGCAGGCGGUUAGCUAAGUCUGAUGUGAAAGCCCGGGGCUUAACCUCGGAAGUGCAUUGGAUACUGGCUGACUAGAGGACGAGAGAGGGAAGUGGAAUUCCUGGUGUAGGGGUGAAAUCCGUAGAUAUCAGGAGGAACACCGGAGGCGAAGGCGGCUUCCUGGCUCGUUUCUGACGCUGAGACGCGAAAGCGUGGGGAGCAAACAGGAUUAGAUACCCUGGUAGUCC
rnacentral:rRNA from 1 species